rnacentral:rRNA from 1 species
UACGGAGGGGGGCUAGCGUUGUUCGGAAUUACUGGGCGUAAAGCGCACGUAGGCGGCUUUGUAAGUUAGAGGUGAAAGCCCGGAGCUCAACUCCGGAAUUGCCUUUAAGACUGCAUCGCUCGAAUCAUGGAGAGGUGAGUGGAAUUCCCAGUGUAGCGGUGAAAUGCGUAGAUAUUGGGAGGAACACCAGUGGCGAAGGCGGCUCACUGGACCGGUACUGACGCUGAGGCGCGAAAGCGUGGGGAGCAAACAGGG